CAUUUUCAGUAAAGAAGUCCUGAGUAAACACGUUGUCGUUGAAUACCGCUUCUCUGCCGAACCUUAAUAUUAGUGCCUCAUGCAGUGAUGUGUCAGUUUUAUCUAUGUAAGUGCCUAAGGGCGAAGAAAACAGUCUAAGGAAUUUUGCAAAUGGCAAAGAUUAAAGGUCAAGUUAAGUGGUUCAACGAGUCUAAAGGUUUUGGUUUCAUUACUCCGGCUGAUGGCAGCAAAGAUGUGUUCGUACACUUCUCCGCUAUCCAGGGUAACGGUUUCAAAACGCUGGCUGAAGGCCAGAACGUUGAGUUCGAAAUUCAGGACGGCCAGAAAGGUCCAGCUGCAGUUAACGUAACUGCUAUCUGAUUAAGACCAAUGAAUCUUG
rnacentral:sRNA from 1 species